rnacentral:misc_RNA from 1 species
GCAAACUUGGUCAUUUAGAGGAAGUAAAAGUCGUAACAAGGUCUCCGUAGGUGAACCUGCGGAGGGAUCAUUAAAGAAAUACAAACAACAGAAAAGGUUGGAGACGGUGGGGGGGGGAGAAGGGAGAGAGAGGGGUUUCCUUCUCUCUCUCUCUCUCUCUCUCUUUCUCUGUCGCUCUAGUCUUUUCUGAACAAACAAACAUACAUGACUAGGAAACAGACAGAAAUACUGACAAGAAGUUCUUGGCUGAUAAGUAGCAUUGAUUUCAAAUGUGAAAAAUGUGAAUUUAUAAUCAAUACAACUUUCAACAACGGAUCUCUUGGCUCUCACAUCGAUGAAGAACGCAGC